AAAGAUAAUUUUUUUUUUAUGGUUUGCCAUUUUUCCUGACAUUAUUUACCUUUCUCCCAAAAUAAAAUGGAAGAUUUAUGUUCAACAGUUCUUCAGAGUAAUAUAGGUAAAUUUGUCUUCAGGGUAUUUCCUGGAGGGAUAUGUCGUCAUCAGUUGCCAAAUAAAAUUCAUUCCUGCUGGUUGUUCCACUUCCCAAACAUCUGUCCGCUGGAAACUAUGCUGUUUCGCCUGAGUAGUUCCCAUUGCGGUCGUCCCAAUGAACAGAACCACGUGUGCAGUUAAGCAGAAAGGCUGUCUUAAUUUUCAAGAGUCAUCCAGGUCUGGUGAACCAAACUGCUGAGAAACUGCUUUCUGCUUUCUCCCUCCAUCACUUUUCAAGGAUGUUUGAAAACAACAUUGGAAACAAUUUUCCAGGAUGUCACAGAGUUCCUAUAUAAUUCUGGGAAUCUUAUAAAAGAAUUGCUCCAAUCAAGGGUAUAAAUCGUUAUGGUAUACUACGGGUAAAACCUCCAAAUGAAAUCCUUAAAACCUUCGGCUAACUUUACACAUAUAUACAACCUACAGGAGCCUUUGGUUUCACCAAUGAUGUUCCUCAGAAAACUCCUAGCUCAACAGGAACUGCUUGAAAUUCAGCAAAGGGAAAUGUGAAGUCCUGCACCGAAGGAGGAAUAACCCACCACACCAGUACACGCUGGGGGCUGACCAGCUGCAAAGCAGCUUUGCAGAGAAGGACUCUGAGGGUCCUAGUGGGCACCAAAUUGCACAGGAGCCAGCAAUAUGGCCUUGCACCAAAGGCCAACAGUCCGGAGGCUGCAUCACCAGCACACCAAGGGAUGUGAUCCUUCCCCUCUACUCUGCACUGGUCAGAAGUGGCCGCGCCAUUUCCGCUUUUAACCUGCAUAUCUAAUCACAUUAAACGUAAUCUUUGCAAUGACAUCACUGUGUUGUGACUUCUCAUGCCUUCUUGAUUUCCACUGCUAGUACAUGUACCCUUCGCUUUUUUCUCCCCUCUAGGUUAAUCUGGCCUAUUUAACAUCUUGCACUGUGCAAGAUAUCGUUAUAGGUGGAUCUUUGUGACUUACAUAAUAACAUAUUAUAUAUUCUUAAAGAAUAACAAAGCCAGAAAUUCAACAUCCACAAGUUUUAUUCUGGCAAUUGAGUAUAAACGCUUACUAUUUUAACUUGAUAUUAAAAUCUGUCAUGGAAGCUUUCAAAAUGCAUCUGUUAAUCAUUUUAGGUGAAUAUUUACCUUAAGUGUAUAUAUAUUUAAACAUCUUUUUAUUAAAGAAACCCAAGAAGACUAAAUUUGCUGGAUCAUUUUUUAUUAAUAAAUUCUUAAAGCCUAUAUUCCAAGAAAUUGCUAGGAGCAUUAACUCCUCCAUUGCCACCAGUAGGAAUAACUGAGGAUGCAUUUGCAAAACCUCAGCAGAUAAAUUGAAUUCACAUGUGGUAAAUUUCCUGUAUUAAUAUCUGCACAAGGAUGUUCUUGAAGUUGGCAGAGACAUAACAGCAAAAUGAAGCUGAUAUAAGUUCAAAAUGACCAAUGAUUUAAAAUGUGGAGAAAAUCAUAAGAAAACUUAUUUACAGAGACCUGCUUGCUACUGUUUAGAUUCUGCACAGCUAGUUACUCAUCAGCCUAAUAGAAAUGCUGACAUGUACAACCUUAACUCCUGUAUCACCCAGACAAUGCUCUAAUCAAAUUGAUUUGUGGUUGUUUCCUUGCGUGAAGAAAUAAAGUGGAUGUACUUUCCAAAA